rnacentral:rRNA from 1 species
CAAGUCGAGCGGAACGAGUUAUCUGAACCUUCGGGGGACGAUACGGCGUCCAGCGGCGGACGGGUGAGUAAUGCCUAGGAAAUUGCCCUGAUGUGGGGGAUAACCAUUGGAAACGAUGGCUAAUACCGCAUGAUGCCUACGGGCCAAAGAGGGGGACCUUCGGGCCUCUCGCGUCAGGAUAUGCCUAGGUGGGAUUAGCUAGUUGGUGAGGUAAGGGCUCACCAAGGCGACGAUCCCUAGCUGGUCUGAGAGGAUGAUCAGCCACACUGGAACUGAAACACGGUCCAGACUCCUACGGGAGGCAGCAGUGGGGAAUAUUGCACAAUGGGCGCAAGCCUGAUGCAGCCAUGCCGCGUGUGUGAAGAAUGCCUUCGGGUUGUAAAGCACUUUCAGUCGUGAGGAAGGUAGUGUAGUUAAUAGCUGCAUUAUUUGACGUUAGCGACAGAAGAAGCACCGGCUAACUCC